AUUGAACGCUGGCGGCAUGCCUUACACAUGCAAGUCGAACGGCAGCAUAGGAGCUUGCUCCUGAUGGCGAGUGGCGAACGGGUGAGUAAUAUAUCGGAACGUGCCCUAGAGUGGGGGAUAACUAGUCGAAAGACUAGCUAAUACCGCAUACGAUCUACGGAUGAAAGUGGGGGAUCGCAAGACCUCAUGCUCCUGGAGCGGCCGAUAUCUGAUUAGCUAGUUGGUGGGGUAAAAGCCUACCAAGGCAACGAUCAGUAGCUGGUCUGAGAGGACGACCAGCCACACUGGGACUGAGACACGGCCUAGACUCCUACGGGAGGCAGCAGUGGGGAAUGUUGGACAAUGGGGGCAACCCUGAUCCAGCAAUGCCGCGUGAGUGAAGAAGGCCUUCGGGUUGUAAAGCUCUUUUGUCAGGGAAGAAACGGUAGUAGCGAAUAACUACUACUAAUGACGGUACCUGAAGAAUAAGCACCGGCUAACUACGUGCCAGCCGCCGCCGUAA
rnacentral:rRNA from 1 species